GAUGUACGCUGGCGGCGUGCUUAACACACGCAAGUCGAGCGAGUGAGUUCUUCGGAACGAUCUAGCGGCGGACGGGUGAGUAACACGUGGGCAACCUACCUCAUAGAGGGGAAUAGCCUCCCGAAAGGGAGAUUAAUACCGCAUAACAUCGUUGAAGGGCAUCCUUCGAUGAUCAAAGGAGCAAUCCGCUAUGAGAUGGGCCCGCGGCGCAUUAGCUAGUUGGUGAGGUAACGGCUCACCAAGGCGACGAUGCGUAGCCGACCUGAGAGGGUGAUCGGCCACAUUGGGACUGAGACACGGCCCAGACUCCUACGGGAGGCAGCAGUGGGGAAUAUUGCACAAUGGGGGAAACCCUGAUGCAGCAACGCCACGUGAGUGAUGACGGUCUUCGGAUUGUAAAGCUCUGUCUUUGGGGACGAUAAUGACGGUACCCAAGGAGGAAGUCACGGCUAACUACGUGCCAGCAGCCGCGGUAA
rnacentral:rRNA from 1 species